rnacentral:rRNA from 1 species
AUUGAACGCUGGCGGCAGGCCUAACACAUGCAAGUCGAGCGGAUGAAGGGAGCUUGCUCCUGGAUUCAGCGGCGGACGGGUGAGUAAUGCCUAGGAAUCUGCCUGGUAGUGGGGGAUAACGUCCGGAAACGGGCGCUAAUACCGCAUACGUCCUGAGGGUGAAAGUGGGGGAUCUUCGGACCUCACGCUAUCAGAUGAGCCUAGGUCGGAUUAGCUAGUUGGUGGGGUAAAGGCCUACCAAGGCGACGAUCCGUAACUGGUCUGAGAGGAUGAUCAGUCACACUGGAGCUGAGACACGGUCCAGACUCCUACGGGAGGCAGCAGUGGGGAAUAUUGGACAAUGGGCGAAAGCCUGAUCCAGCCAUGCCGCGUGUGUGAAGAAGGUCUUCGGAUUGUAAAGCACUUUAAGUUGGGAGGAAGGGCAGUAAGUUAAUACCUUGCUGUUUUGACGUUACCAACAGAAUAAGCACCGGCUAACUUCGUG